rnacentral:lncRNA from 1 species
GCCCUAAGGAAAAAAAAAUACAUAUUGUAAUAGCUGGUAUCUCCAUUAGUCCCCACCUAACAAAACUUGGGUCAAGGAGGGAAGUAGAUGGUGCUAAAAUGGUCAGAUAUAGUGGCUUCAUUCUAAAAGGGCUGCCCUCUAGAUAGACCAAGUCCAAAUGCCAGCUGUGACACUGACUAGCUACAAGCCCUUGGGCCGCUCUCAGUUAAUUGAGAACAAAAUAUGGAAUGGUGAGUGGGAGGAAGGAAGAGAAAGAUCUCUGGAAGGGUUUAGCCUAGCAGUAAGUAAACCACCCCAACCCACUCCCCUCCCCCCGCAAGAAAAACCUCUUUUUAUACCCUGCCCAAAGUAAUGAAAUUAUUUCCUCAAUAAAGAUCGCCAACCUAUGGGCUGGGAUGUGACCCAACCAUAGUUCACUGAUUGGAUUAAGGCUGUCAUGACCCAAUCAUUUCUCCUUUAAACCUUUUGCAUUAUCUUACACAUGAGUUUUGGGGAACAUCUCACUUCUAAACCCUAACACUGUGCCACUGCUUAUAGCCCAUGCUUCCUUUCUUGAUACAUUGAUGUCAUUUAGAUAUGAACAGAAGUUCUAAUAACCACCUCUAAGACUAAUGUUUCUAUUUGAAGCUGUUUGUAUUAAUAAUAGAAGUCUAUGCAUCCAUUCAAUUGCACAGUAGUAGUUUUCACAUACUGGUUAAAUUCCGUUCUUGAUUAGGUUCUCCACUAGCCACUGUGCUAACUUAUCAACAGUCAUGGUCCUAUGGCAUCUGUCAAAGCAUUGCAUAUCUGUUUUUACACCUUAUCACUCUGUCUCUCUUUGGCUUUCAUAUGAGGAUCCCAUUUCCAAUCCUAAAUUCCUCCUCAGGAUCCCAUCAUGGAAGGUGACUGUGAAAAAGUGAGAUCUCAGAGGAAAGGAAGCAAUUAAGCAGCAGCCAUCCAUUCUUUUGUUUAUUUAAUCAAACUUGAAUAAAUGACUCCCUCCCUUGACAAGGGCCCUGGACAGUUACAGGAGUGGAGAACAGACUGGUGAUAGAGUGAAGUCCAAGUCUUUAAAAUGGCUCCUGUAAAGCUGCUCGACUAACAUAAAACAAUUCCUCGGUGGGAAAUAAAUGUUUAUGUCAAACAGUCAUUUGUGGAAACAAACACAUCUGUGGUACUUAAGCUGGAAGGGAUUUAUAGU